UGCAAGAUCAAGAGUUGGAACUAGAUCUCUUUUAUCAUCACUGCUAGACUAGACUACAAAAAGCCAUCUACCAAAAGGAAAAUGAGAAGGACACUGCCUAUCUAGGGUUGGCCUCUGGAAGGCAAAACAUUCUCCCUUGAGAAUCCACAUCCUGCUCUCAGAUGAGGUAUCCCAUAAUUUACCCUGCAUUAUUGAGGUGAUAGCCAGGUGUCAGGUGGUUCUUUACACUGGGGAUGGAAGGCUCAGUUCCAUCUGGUGAGGUUUCACAAGAGAGUAUCAGCCGUAAGUGCCAUGUUCUAGUGGGAGAGUGGUAGCUGCAGA